CAGUCGCCACGGUAAUACGAAGGGGGCUAGCGUUGCUCGGAAUUACUGGGCGUAAAGGGCGCGUAGGCGGACAGUUUAGUCAGAGGUGAAAGCCCAGGGCUCAACCUUGGAAUUGCCUUUGAUACUGGCUGUCUUGAGUACGGGAGAGGUGUGUGGAACUCCGAGUGUAGAGGUGAAAUUCGUAGAUAUUCGGAAGAACACCGGUGGCGAAGGCGACACACUGGCCCGUUACUGACGCUGAGGCGCGAAAGCGUGGGGAGCAAACAGGAUUAGAUACCCCGGUAGUCCCUGUCUCUUAUAC
rnacentral:rRNA from 1 species